GGGUAGGUGGCUGAUAAAAGCGAUAGAUUGUAAAUCUAUUUAUGAGAAUUAUUCUCUCUGUCCA
rnacentral:tRNA from 1 species